rnacentral:lncRNA from 1 species
ACAUUUGUCUAAUUGUUAUAUUUAAAAAAUCUUAUGUCAUUAUUUAAUCAUAUAAGGUAUUUGUGUCCCCGUGCGUUGCACGGGUGCCCUAACUAGUUUGCCACAUUCAUAUGUUUCGUUGAAAACCACUUUCAUAAUAUUAAACAUUUUUCAUGCUUAAUAAUAAUAACAACAAAUGAUUUAUUUUUUACUUUUUUCUAUGUAUGUGUGCGCGUUUAAAUCAUUUUUUUACUUUGAAAUAUGUGAGUGAUUGUUGUAUCGUUAGAGUCAUAUCAUGCUUAAACAAAUGGGGGAAUGAAUGAUUAUACUCUAAUUUCAUUUCACCAUAUUCUGUGAUGUGGUAAUGCCAGAUCAAGAAAACACAAUCUAUUGUCAGCAGCACCAAGAACUGUACGCUGUUCCAGAGAAAGAGCCAUGGCCUCACCUUUAGCAUAAAACAACUUUUGCCAUUGAGAAUCCUUAAAAACUCUGCAGAUGCUACACAUAUGAGCAUUCCAUGGAAGGAAUGCGCAAACACUUUACACUUGACACAUGGAAUAAAACACAGAAUGCUUCAUUACGGUGUUUGCCCCCACCUUCUUCUUCCACUCAGUUCUUCCUUUUCAAUCGUUGCAGGUCAAAAUUGAUGAGGAAAGAUAAAAAAAAUAAAAUAAAUCACAAAGUCCAUGAAUUUGAUCUCUUGAGCAAAGGCUCCUUUAGCUGUC